rnacentral:tRNA from 1 species
AAGAAAGUGGCAGAGUGGUUAUGUGACUGGCUUGAAAUUAGUUUAUGGGGGUUCAAUUCCCUCCUUUCUCG